rnacentral:rRNA from 1 species
UACGGAGGGUGCAAGCGUUAUCCGGAUUCACUGGGUUUAAAGGGUGCGUAGGUGGGUUGAUAAGUCAGUGGUGAAAUCCCCGAGCUUAACUUGGGAACUGCCAUUGAUACUAUUGAUCUUGAAUACCGUGGAGGUCAGCGGAAUAUGUCAUGUAGCGGUGAAAUGCUUAGAUAUGACAUAGAACACCAAUUGCGAAGGCAGCUGGCUACGCGAAUAUUGACACUGAUGCACGAAAGCGUGGGGAGCGAACAGG